UACGAAGGGGCUAGCGUUGCUCGGAAUCACUGGGCGUAAAGGGUGCGUAGGCGGGUCUUUAAGUCAGGGGUGAAAUCCUGGAGCUCAACUCCAGAACUGCCUUUGAUACUGAGGAUCUUGAGUUCGGGAGAGGUGAGUGGAACUGCGAGUGUAGAGGUGAAAUUCGUAGAUAUUCGCAAGAACACCAGUGGCGAAGGCGGACUCACUGGCCCGAUACUGACGCUGAGGCACGAAAGCGUGGGGAG
rnacentral:rRNA from 1 species